rnacentral:tRNA from 1 species
UGCCCCAUGGCUGAGUUGGUUACAGCGUCCGACUGUUACCCGCUGGAGCAAUCGGAAGGUCGUGAGUUCGAGCCUCACUGGGGCAG